rnacentral:lncRNA from 1 species
GGUAGAACAGUGUAGAAAAGCGUUCCCCAGAAGGGAAUGACAGGAAACGAGAAAAAAGAGAGAGAAACGAAAGAGGAAGACAGGAAAGAAAAAGGAAGACAACUAUCUCAGCCCGGGUCGAAAGGCAUCCCUGCUCCUGCCAGGUUCCACAGUCUAAUUUCCUCUUUAAUUCUGGUCUGCAUCCCGUCCGCCGUCUUGUACUCCUGGUUGAAGACUCUCGUGUUCCUUUCCCGCAAGAUCUCCCAAGUAAUUAGGUGCACGAGGAAGAACAGCCCCUUUUUCUUCUCCUUAGCAGUGAGAGCAUAGCAAGUCUCGAACCAUGUUGAAAACUUGUGAUCCCUCUCCCAGCUUGCCGGGCAUAGCGAUGGCAUAGCCGUGAGGGAGGGCAGAUGCAGGUUGGCAGCGGGAGCCGGAGAGUGGAGGGCGGAGGCCAGCCUAGGCGCCCCCCGUGCUUGUCGUGAUAUGCUGACUGCUGACUCAAUUAUUCGCGCCAACAGACGGAUGAUCCUCGGUCAUGGGGCAGCGGCGCUGCUGGUCGGUUCGCUCGACCUGGUGGCUGACCGACUGAAAGCGCACGUCUCCACGUUUUCUCUAGAAGAAGUUGACCAAACCGCCAGGUGAGAGCGUGGGUUGGUACAUGCUGCC